CCGCCGCCGCCGAAGCGGAGACGGGAGCCGCGAGCGCCACCAGGGCAGCAACCGCCGCAGCCGCCGCCACUGGGCUUAGGCGCCGGAGACGCGGGCGGACGAGGUGGCGGCGGCGGCGGAGUUGGAGCAAGGACCGGGCGCGGGCAGAGCGCGGCGGCGCGGGUGUAUUCCAGAGAACAAGUCUUCAAACAUCUUUACCAUAUUGACUUUGAGCUGUCAGGGGACUCAGGCUUAUGAGGAGGUACUGUCACACAAAACAGUGUCUAGUGAAGACGACAAGAAAGAGGGGAAAGGAUCGGAAAAAGAAGCUAAAACACUAUAGAAAACCAUGAGAUCUAUUAGAUCUUUUGCCAAUGAUGAUCGCCAUGUUAUGGUGAAACAUUCAACAAUCUAUCCAUCUCCGGAGGAACUCGAAGCUGUUCAGAAUAUGGUGUCCACUGUUGAAUGUGCUCUUAAACAUGUCUCAGACUGGCUGGAUGAAACAAAUAAAGGCACAAAAACAGAUGGCGAGACAGAAGUGAAGAAGGACGAGACUGUAGACAAUUAUUCCAAGGAUCAAGGUGGUCGGACAUUGUGUGGUGUAAUGAGAAUUGGCCUAGUUGCAAAAGGCUUGCUGAUUAAAGAUGAUAUGGACUUGGAGCUGGUUUUAAUGUGCAAAGACAAACCCACAGAGACUCUGUUAAAUACAGUCAAAGAUAAUCUUCCUGUUCAGAUUCAGAAACUCACAGAAGAGAAGUAUCAGGUGGAACAAUGUAUAGAUGAGGCAUCUAUUAUAAUUCGAAAUACAAAAGAGCCCACGCUCACUUUGAAGGUGAUACUUACUUCCCCUGUAAUUAGGGACGAAUUGGAGAAGAAGGAUGGAGAAAAGGUUGUGAUGAAAGAUCCUCCAGACUUACUGGACAGGCAGAAGUGCCUGAACGCCUUGGCGUCUCUCCGACAUGCCAAAUGGUUUCAGGCAAGGGCAAACGGAUUAAAAUCAUGUGUAAUUGUCCUCCGCAUUCUGCGUGAUUUGUGCAACAGAGUCCCCACAUGGGCACCAUUAAAAGGCUGGCCACUAGAGCUUAUAUGUGAAAAGUCUAUAGGUACUUGUAAUAGACCUUUGGGCGCUGGGGAGGCCUUGAGACGAGUAAUGGAGUGUUUGGCAUCUGGAAUUCUACUUCCUGGGGGUCCUGGUCUUCAUGAUCCUUGUGAGCGAGACCCAACAGAUGCUCUGAGCUAUAUGACCAUCCAGCAAAAAGAAGAUAUUACCCACAGUGCACAGCAUGCGCUCAGACUAUCAGCCUUUGGCCAGAUUUAUAAAGUGCUGGAGAUGGACCCCCUUCCAUCUAGUAAACCUUUUCAGAAAUAUUCCUGGUCAGUUACUGAUAAAGAAGGUGCUGGGUCUUCAGCUCUGAAGAGGCCAUUUGAAGAUGGAUUAGGGGAUGAUAAAGAUCCCACUAAGAAGAUGAAACGAAAUUUAAGGAAAAUUCUGGAUAGUAAAGCAAUAGACCUUAUGAAUGCACUAAUGAGGCUAAAUCAGAUCAGGCCUGGGCUUCAGUAUAAGCUCUUAUCUCAGUCUGGCCCUGUCCAUGCCCCAGUCUUCACAAUGUCUGUAGACGUGGAUGGUACAACAUAUGAAGCCUCAGGACCAUCCAAGAAAACAGCAAAACUUCACGUAGCAGUCAAGGUAUUGCAGGCAAUGGGGUACCCCACGGGCUUUGAUGCAGAUAUUGAAUGUAUGAGUUCUGAUGAAAAAUCAGAUAACGAAGGCAAAAAUGAAACAGUGUCUUCAAACUCAAGCAAUAAUACUGGAAAUUCUACAACUGAAACCUCCAGUACCUUAGAGGUAAGAACUCAGGGCCCUAUCCUCACAGCAAGUGGCAAAAAUCCUGUAAUGGAGCUCAAUGAAAAAAGAAGAGGUCUUAAGUAUGAACUCAUCUCGGAGACUGGUGGAAGCCAUGACAAGCGCUUUGUAAUGGAGGUAGAAGUAGAUGGACAGAAAUUCAGAGGUGCAGGUCCAAAUAAAAAAGUGGCAAAGGCAAGUGCAGCGUUAGCUGCCCUGGAGAAGCUGUUUUCUGGACCCAAUGCAGCAAAUAAUAAGAAAAAGAAGAUUAUUCCUCAGGCAAAGGGUGUUGUGAAUACAGCUGUGUCUGCAGCAGUCCAAGCUGUUCGGGGCAGAGGAAGAGGAACUCUAACAAGGGGAGCUUUUGUUGGAGCCACAGCUGCUCCUGGCUACAUAGCUCCAGGUAUAGUACAACCGGCUAUGGAACACCUUACGGUUACAGCACAGCUGCCCCUGCCUAUGGUUAAUACUUUUAAGCAGUUUUCAGCACGUUUAUCUCACUUUAUUCUCGUUCUCCUCGGACCUUCGUAGCCAUAUCACUUGUAUAAAAUAGGCUGAGAUAAUAGUGACUGUAAGCUGUGGUCUCAGUAUACAAAGGUAAGCUCUUUUAUUUUCUGAUUAAAGAGAAAAUUAAAAAUCGAACACAACAUGCAUAUAUGACAAUCACAUAUGAUGUAUUUGAUCUCGUAGGUCUUAUGUCGUCACAUCACCUUUAAACUUUUUAUUAUCUAAAUGUAAAAUAAGUUAUUUUCAGCAUUUGUUUCAAUACCCUUGUAAUUAUUUUCUAUUUAUGAGAAACAUUUCACUUUUGCUGGGUUAAGUGUAUAUGUGAAGGAACUUAUAUAUGUGAAUUACACACAUGUACCUAUUUAAAAAUAAAAGAACUCGGUGGUGGGAAGAAUUCACCUAAGAAGAUUUUAAUGUCAGGGCACUUUUUUGGCCACAGUGCUGGAAUUGCAGAAGCAGCAAGAUUGGUAACAGUGCCGGUAGGACCCAUUUCCACGUGGGUGUUCCACAACCCAAGGGUCAAAGGGCCCAUUUCUCAAGGAGAGAAACUUCUUUGAGAAAUGAAAAUCUCUGAUCUGUGUUGUAUGCUCUAAUACAACAGCAGCAAGAAGCCAUAAAAAAAUAAGCAAUAGAAAAUGAAAAAAAAAACCAAAAUAUUAAAGGUAACUAUGGAAAAAUAUUGACUUGAGUUAAGCUGUUUGCAGAACCAAUGUUGGUGAGUCUCAGAAUGGCAAAUAGCCAGUCUGCAGAGACCAAAUAGACACAAGGCACUUCAUCUCUUUUCCAGGUUAGGUAGAUAGCUGAUUUAUUUCCCAUCUUAACCAUUAUGAAGCUCAUUUUUAAAAUGUGAAGGUUAGGCCAAAUAUUUUAAUCAGGAUUUGCUUCAUUUAGUAUAUCCCGUAAAUGCAUUUCAUGUGUUAGAUGCUGUGCUAAGGCUGUAUUUGAUAUAUAUAGAUUAAAAUGAAUUUGUUUUAUAUUUGUCUCUAAGUAUCAGUUUUCUUUUUAUUACUAACUUUGAAGGUUACUGAACAAGUUUUUUCCCAUACAGAAUCUGUAUGUAUGUUGAAUGUGGCCUUGGCAUCUAUAAAAGGUUGAGUGAGGUCUAGCUGACUAGUACCAAGUACUUUCCAGUCCUGACCAGAUGGCUGAGCGUCCGUGCAUGCCAGGUCCUUCUCUGGGUACUAAGACAGGCUCUGCCCAGUGGGGGCAUUUUAAGUUGGAGAGUCCCCUUGGUGGUAGAAUUGGGACUAUUAAAAAUGUCCUAGUCUGGGAGACAAAUAAUGCAUUAGCAGUACUGAAAGGUAAUUGACUUAGUUAAUAGUUUAUUUAUAAAUUAUUUAAUAAAGUGCGCCCUCUGACAUUACUGAAAUAUGGGCAUCAUCUGGAAAUUCACUUGUUUAAAUAUUUCCUUGGCAGUUUUGAGAACCUGAAACCAUCUCUAUUCUGUUCAUGGACCUUUAUCCAAGUAAGUGAACUUAAUGAAAUGGCAACACUCGAGUCCUUUUAAAGCCAUUUUGUAUUACAAGAAAGAACAAAGUGGUUAAACACUGACCACAUUUUUUUUAUGACAAACGAGGGGAAUUUUAAUCACUCAUUAAAACUAAUCUGUUUCUUAGAUUUCAUUAAUAAUUGCAGUGAAGGCAACUCUUCAUUGAUGAGUCAGGGAAAUGAACUAAGGAGGUUUUCCCCCCUCCCAAAGCAGUUAGAUUUCUGACAGUCUAGGGCUCUCCAGACCAGGGACAGUAAGAGUACUUAAAGCUGCAAACAGCCAGCUCUGUUAAUGGUCUUCCUGUAACUCCCAUUCAGUGUGUCCUGGUGUCACCUUGCUGGUGGCGGGGCUACAGCUGGGUGUCUCUCUGACAUCAUCCAGAAGAAAUGUUCUGUUGUAUUCAGACUUGUACUCCGUGAUGAUCUGACGCCAUGCCACCCAGGGACCACAGGUUUCUCAAUGUCACUAGGAGGCCUGGAAGGGAGAUGGGUGGUAAAGGAAUAACCAGGCAGAGCCAAGAAACUUUUUACCACUGAGUGGGCCACACAAAUGUCACCUCUUGUGUCACAGUGUGCAAAUAUAUGAGAACACUGUCUUAGACCUGGUGUUGGUGAACUUCUGGAAAGGCCCAGGUUGUCAGCAAGACUCUGGACUCCUUGCUGUGUCAAAGCCCCGCCGCUCCACCACUACAGCACAGGGGCAACCAGAGACGAUGCGUGAGCAGACAGGUUUGGUGCGGUCCAACACUCUACUCAUAACACACAGGAAAUGGGGUCAUGUUCUGCAAACCCCUGCUUUAGACUAUAGAGAUUACUCACCACCCUCUGGCUUAAUCAUGACUGGAAACUUCCAUCUGCUGCUCGGACCUGUCUUCCCAAAGGCUUUGUGAGUACUGAGGAUGAAGAAGGGGCAGUCCUUGCCCACAGAGACCUGAGGUUUUAGGUGAGAGGUGGACAGUGACAGAGAACAAAACACACAGCAGGGCUCAGGGAAGUCCAGGGUCAUAGGGCCCAGAGGAGAAGAGGACUGGGGGUGUCAGGAGGGCCCUGAGGCGGCAGCUCCAGGGAAGAUGCGUGUGAGCUUGUCAGACACUGAGAAUGGUGUGAAUGUCGGGGCUCAGGAGGGAAAGGAACAAGUACAUCUUGGAAAUGUCACUCUGGAUGUAGAAGGGAAAAAUCAGGUCUGUGGUUACAGAUGGGAUCUUUCAGGUUAGCCUGGACUCUUUUUAGCCAAGGGUUUGGUUAUUGUUGGUAACCGAGUGGGGGGAGAGGCCUAGAGCUGGGUGGUUUUCUGGCCGCUGGCUUCAGUGGGCUGGUGAGCACCACACGUUUUUGACAUGAUAGAGCUUCAGACUUUUUCUGUCUUGUCAUCCUAAAGAUCACGUAAGACAGCACCACCUGUCUUCAGUUGCUUUUGGUCUUUGCACCUGCGGCCAGGCCUGUGUCCAGCACACAGAGCAAAUGAUACACUGUCAAGCCUGCGGACUACUGAGGCGAGAUGUGCACGUGUGCCAGGCUGAAGCAGACAGCACUCCAGGCUGGACCUGCCCCGAGGGGCUCAGUGGGGUGGUGAAAAAGAAAAAGUGAGGCAGUUACACUAUUCCUGUAAACAUAGACAGUGCUCUGUGCUUGAAAGCCUGUAUUCAGAGGUGGGUGAAGGGAGUUGUUUACUGCACACUGGUGAGGGCCUGACACAGUUACGGCAAAUGAAAGCUGGGAGGCGAUGUGCACUUCGUGUACAGUGACAGGAGGGACUGGAGAAAGACCUGAGGCCAGCGCCUGCACAGAUGCCACUUCACUGAGCUCCCCCAACAGGCCUGUGGGAGCUCAGGGAAGGGAGGCACGUGCCCAAAGCUCCACACAGGCUCCUCCAGCAGAGAGCAGCUUCCAUUGGGCCUGUGUCACUCCAGUCCUCUGGGGUCCCAGUCAGGAGGCAAGGCGUCUGGUGCUGUCCUGAGUGGUUGGGCAAGGCAGCAGGCCAUUGCUGAGAGCCAAGGACUGGUGCCACCUGGGCCAAGGGAAGCUGUUUUGCCAGGUGAGAACCAGUGAAGGUGUCGGAAGGGAGAGUCACUGAGACCUGUGCCUCUGGGGCACGCUGGCGCCGUUGUUGGUCUUGUCUCUUGCUGCCUGGUCUUGUCUCUCUCGGGGCUGUGGGAGGGCUCUCAGACACCCAUAGGCUUGUGAUCUCUAUAGGUGUUUCUGGACUCACAGGAGGGGAAAGGACAGAGGCGAGCCUGGCUUGGCCAUGAAGCCAGAGGGGCCUUCCACCAGGCAGGUGUGGCAGUCACUGCCCUGGCCAGAGGCCCCAUGCCCUCUGCCUCAUUUUCCUGCCUAGGCCAAGUUCUUUUUUUGACUCCAACCCAAACAUUUCUGUUCUAGGAAGCCAUGUUCACAGAAAGGAAGGAAGGACAGGGACAACAGGGUGAGACUUGUAAUUCAGAAAGUUGCCCUCUUGAGUGUCCAGCUCUCCCCCUUUGCAGGGCCAGCCCUGCUCCUCUCCCUGAGAGCACGGCUCUGGCCACAGGGACGUAGAGUGGGGCCUCUGUGACCUCCAGUACAGUGUCUCACUGGCUCCCUCAGGCUGCAGCCCACACACGAGGUAGGACCUGGGAGUUUAGCCAGGAAACCCUCACUCCCACAGCCUCUUUUCUCACCUGACAUGCCAGAGGUGCUGCUGUCGGACCCUGACCGUGACAGCAUCUCUUGCUCCAAGGCCCGCUCUGUACGGUCAGGCAGGGACCUCACGGCACCAUCCUUUCAUGGCGGGGGACACUGUGUGCUGCUCCUCCCCUCAGUCACUUAGUGUGGCUGGCCAGUGCUGGGCCCUGCCAUGGCUGAGUGGGAGGUGGCUCAAUGACCACUCACUACCACCUCUCCUGGACACAGGAAGGCUUAUUUUCAGAAACUAAACAGGGGAGCCAAAUUGCAGGCAUCCCUAAGGCCCCUGACUAGGGGCCUAACUAUGUGUCCCGGGAGUCUAGGGUGGCUUCGGCUGGCUGAUGAGCUGUCUCCAACCUCCAGACUGCCUCCCUCCCCAGGGCUUGAGGCAAAGUGAACACUUGGUCACAGGUCUUUGGCCCUCAUCUUCUAGUGAGUCCUGAGCCAUUUUACUUGAGCAAACUUCAUAUACUUCAGCCCUUAGCAGUGUUUAUCUUGUUUUUCCCUAAGUAUCUUAGAAGUCAGGCCUUUCACCUGGGACCCAUCUGCUGGCCUGUUGAUCUCUGUAAGUGCCUGCUUGGGCCCCAGCCACAUCUUAAGACAGAGCUCCUGAAGGAGCCCUCACUAGGGGGAGGGCACUUCCAGGAACAGAGACUGAUGGGCCUGGUCUCAAGGGUGCUCUUGGCAGGGCGAGCUGGGGAAGGGGCUGACGAGGGGCCGGGUCUGCCUGCCAGGAAGUGUUCCUGCCUGGAGGGGCUUCCCUUGUGAAGGGGUCAGGUGGCUCUUGCUCAGGCCCAGGUGGGGGGAGGGAGGCACAGGCAGCAUGGAGAAGGCUGAGCAUAGCCGUGGGUGGAAACCUCUCCCUGCUGCAUGGUCGUGCACGUGGCAGUGGACUCCUGGCUGUAGCUUACCCGCACUCUGGUCUGGUGAUGGCCAAGGUAGUUUUUAGACAUCUACUUAAAAUAUCUGUAUCUACUUACUGUUUUUUUUUCUGAAUACACAAUUGUAAAUAGUAUAAUUUGCAGUGCAAAGUCCUUGGCAAUAACUCUCUGUUGUGUAUUAUGUUAAACAAAAAUACUGGAAAACCACCACCACGGACUUGUCCUCCUUUUCUGGGGCAAUGGUAACAUGUAGGACUGUGACCGUUGAACCUUCGGUGUGGUAGAAGCAGCAGCCUGCAUAUGUGGACUGUCACCAGUGCCUCGCCCAGAGAAGCCUGGCCUUCACCCAAAGGGACUCUCUGCCACCCUGACUCCACAGGCAGCACCCACACUGUGGCUCCUACGCACUGUGUUGGACUCUGCCAUAGACUGAUCCUCCUGUCCGGCUGCUGUGGCCUGUAAUGCCCUGACAUGUUGCAUUUCCCCCAUUUGGAUGAAUAAAAA